GAUGAAGAACGUAGCGAAAUGCGAUACUUGGUGUGAAUUGCAGAAUCCCGUGAACCAUCGAGUCUUUGAACGCAAGUUGCGCCCGAAGCCACUAGGCCGAGGGCACGCCUGCCUGGGCGUCACACGUCGUUGCCCCCCCCCCAUCUACUCCUUCGGGAUUGCGGGGGGCGGAUGAUGGCCUCCCGUGCGCCUAGCCGCGCGGUUGGCAUAAAUACCAAGUCCUCGGCGACGCACGCCACGACAAUCGGUGGUUGCGAAACCUCGGUUGCCCGUCGUGUGCGUUCGUCGCGCAUCGAGGGCUCGAAAAAAUGCUCGGCUCCGGCUCGGCUUUCAACGCGACCCCAUGUCAGGCGGGGUUACCCGCUGAAUUUAAGCAUAUCAAUAAGCGGAGGA
rnacentral:misc_RNA from 1 species